GCAAACUUGGUCAUUUAGAGGAAGUAAAAGUCGUAACAAGGUCUCCGUUGGUGAACCAGCGGAGGGAUCAUUGCAAGAUCGAGUGCGUUCUGCGCGCUCCUUCCCAAACCACCUGUCUACCUUACCGGACCCGUUGCUUCGGCGGCGGCGAGGCCCUUGUUUGCCCGCCACCGCCGGAGGUAUGCACGAACAAGACUCAUCUGUCUGUUUCUUCUAGCAAAAGCACUGGCCAAUCUUUUGGGCAGCCUGCCGAGCUUCUCUCCUGAGCAAAAAGAAUUGAGAAAAGAGAAAAACGAAAUUAAGUCAAAACUUUCAACAACGGAUCUCUUGGUUCUGGCAUCGAUGAAGAACGCAGC
rnacentral:misc_RNA from 1 species